UAGCGCUGGUUCUCAGCAGCGAAAUCCUGCUGAGAGGACGAGGAAGAGGUUGUCGAGCAUGUCAGCGGAUGCCUCUCGGCUGGCCCGGUCGAAAGAAAUCGGUCAAAACAGGGAAGCGAUUCCCAGGACAAAGCCGAUG
rnacentral:ncRNA from 1 species